AAAGAUUAAGCCAUGCAUGUCUAAGUAUAAACAAAUUCGUACCGUGAAACUGCGAAUGGCUCAUUAAAUCAGUUAUAGUUUAUUUGAUGAUACCUUGCUACAUGGAUAACUGUGGUAAUUCUGGAGCUAAUACAUGCAAUCAAGCCCCGACUUCCGGAAGGGGUGUAUUUAUUAGAUAAAAAACCAACGCGGUUCGCCGCUCCCUUGGUGAUUCAUAAUAACUUCUCGAAUCGCAUGGCCUUGCGCCGGCGAUGCUUCAUUCAAAUAUCUGCCCUAUCAACUUUCGAUGGUAGGGUAGUGGCCUACCAUGGUUU
rnacentral:rRNA from 1 species